rnacentral:rRNA from 1 species
GACGAACGCUGGCGGCGUGCUUAACACAUGCAAGUCGAACGGAAAGGCCCUGCUUUUGUGGGGUGCUCGAGUGGCGAACGGGUGAGUAACACGUGAGUAACCUGCCCUUGACUUUGGGAUAACUUCAGGAAACUGGGGCUAAUACCGGAUAGGAGCUCCUGCUGCAUGGUGGGGGUUGGAAAGUUUCGGCGGUUGGGGAUGGACUCGCGGCUUAUCAGCUUGUUGGUUGGGUAGUGGCUUACCAAGGCUUUGACGGGUAGCCGGCCUGGGAGGGUGGCCGGCCACCUUGGGCCUGCGAUACGGCCCAGACUCCUACGGGAGGCAGCAGUGGGGAAUAUUGCCCAAUGGGCGGAAGCCUGAUGCAGCAACGCCGCGUGCGGGAUGACGGCCUUCGGGUUGUAAACCGCUUUCGCCUGUGACGAAGCGUGAGUGACGGUAAUGGGUAAAGAAGCACCGGCUAACUACGUG